GACGAACGCUGGCGGCGUGCUUAACACAUGCAAGUCGAACGGAAAGGCCCUGCUUUUGUGGGGUGCUCGAGUGGCGAACGGGUGAGUAACACGUGAGUAACCUGCCCUUGACUUUGGGAUAACUUCAGGAAACUGGGGCUAAUACCGGAUAGGAGCUCCUGCUCCUUGGUGGGGGUUGGAAAUUUUCGGCGGUUGGGGAUGGACUCGCGGGUUAUCAGCUUGUUGGUGGGGUAGUGGCUUACCAAGGCUUUGACGGGUAGCCGGCCUUAGAGGGUGACCGGCCACAUUGGGACGGAGCUACGGCCCAGACUACUACGGGAGGCAGUAGUGGGGAAUAUCGCAAAAUGGGCGGAAGCCUGAUGCAGCAACGCCGCGUGCGGGAUGACGGCCUUCGGGUUGUAAACCGAUUUCGCCUGUGACGAAGCGUGAGUGACGGUAAUGGGUAAAGAAGCACAGGCUAACUACGU
rnacentral:rRNA from 1 species